rnacentral:rRNA from 1 species
UACGGAGGGGGCUAGCGUUAUUCGGAAUUACUGGGCGUAAAGCGCACGUAGGCGGCUUUGUAAGUAAGAGGUGAAAGCCUGGAGCUCAACUCCAGAAUAGCCUUUUAGACUGCAUCGCUUGAAUCAUGGAGAGGUGAGUGGAAUUCCGAGUGUAGAGGUGAAAUUCGUAGAUAUUCGGAAGAACACCAGUGGCGAAGGCGGCUCACUGGACCGGCAUUGACGCUGAGGUGCGAAAGCGUGGGGAGCAAACAGG